GAAAAACCACUUCCUUUCUUGUGUCAAAAUAAGAGUCUCAAGGUAUCAAGCCUGCAGAUUGCAUCAGCAGACCCAGGACUCAAAACAAUAUCAGAAAUUUGCACCAUACAGACGAUAACAGCUUUGACAGUGCUCUGUGGGAUGUUCCUAACUUGGGAAGUAAUCCAACUCUGCUUUAAACUUCUCCACAACUUUAUUCCGGACCUGUCUGCAGUGUUUAUUGGUCUUCAUGAUGCUUCAUCAUCUUUGUUAAUUCUCUAACAAUCCUCAGAUGCACAAAAGUAGAAGAUUAGUGAGGUGAAGGCAGACACCUUGCAAAGAAAAGUGAGUGUACUCAGGAUUCCAGACAUUUCCCGAGGGUGACGUUUUCUCCUCUCCUCUGCCGGUUGUCAACAUGUCCGGGCAUUUACAGGUCUGAUAACUCUGGAGUCCACAACAAGUAAACACAGACGGUGAAGCUUCAUUGGAAAGAUAAAGCUUAUCAAUAUAAUGACUGCAA